rnacentral:lncRNA from 1 species
CUCGGCUUGACCUUUCUCCGCCCCCGCCCCCUCGGGCUCCUCUCGCUCCACCCCAGCCACCCACCAGCCCCGGCGCAAAAAUGUCACCGAGGGAGAGCGUCCAGGUGGAUCUGCUGGGGAGGAGAGCGGAGCCUCGUUGAACAAAGGGAAGCUUCACGCGCUCGGCUGCGGUGGUUUGGUGGAGGAGAGGAGCAAGGGGACCGAUGCCUUGCUUCUGCCUGCCUGGGUCCCGGUUCAAGGCGAGCGAGCGUGGGAAAAAAAAAAAAAAAAGAGAGAGAGAGAGAGAAGCUGGGAAGGAGAGUGAGCAGAGCGGAACGCGCAGGAAUUGGCUGUCUUCUGAGGGCUACUGGGUAGCAAGACCUGCAAAGCCCCGCGGCGGAAUUUUUAAGUGCUUUUCCCCUCUUUAUUUGUUCACACCAGACGUUAACGUUGCAGGAGUUAAUAUGUCAUCUGUCCAACUUGCUGAAAAGUCAGACAGUCACCUCGGUCCAGAAAUUCCUGUUUUUCCUCCUUGUAUUACAUUUUACAUACUGUGCUUGGCUGACAGAAAAUAA